GAUCAUGGCUCAGGACGAACGCUGGCGGCGUGCCUAACACAUGCAAGUCGAACGGAGAUACUGAAUUUCGGUUUAGUAUCUUAGUGGCGCACGGGUGAGUAACGCGUGAACAACUUGACCUCAGAGGGGAGUAACAGCGAGAAAUACGGUGCUAAUACCGCAUGAGACCACAAGCCCGCCAUGGAGAAGGGGUCGAAAGGAGGAAUCCGCUGAAGGAGAGGUUCGCGUCCCACUAGUAGUUGGCGGGAG
rnacentral:rRNA from 1 species